rnacentral:rRNA from 1 species
AACGCUGGCGGCAGGCCUAACACAUGCAAGUCGAGCGGCAGCGCGUCCGACCACCCUCGGGUGGUCGGAUGGCGGCGAGCGGCGGACGGGUGAGGAAUGCAUCGGAAUCUGCCUCGUUGUGGGGGAUAACGUAGCGAAAGCUACGCUAAUACCGCAUACGAUCUAUGGAUGAAAGCGGGGGAUCGCAAGACCUCGCGCGAUUGGAGCGGCCGAUAUCAGAUUAGGUAGUUGGUGGGGUAAAAGCCUACCAAGCCUUCGAUCUGUAGCUGGUCUGAGAGGACGACCAGCCACACUGGAACUGAGACACGGUCCAGACUCCUACGGGAGGCAGCAGUGGGGAAUUUUGGACAAUGGGCGCAAGCCUGAUCCAGCAAUGCCGCGUGAGUGAAGAAGGCCUUCGGGUUGUAAAGCUCUUUCGGCCGGGAAGAAAUCGCACAGGUUAAUACCCUGUGUGGAUGACGGUACCGGAAUAAGAAGCACCGGCUAACUACGUG